ACGAACGCUGGCGGCGUGCUUAACACAUGCAAGUCGAACGGAAAGGCCCUGCUUGCAGGGUACUCGAGUGGCGAACGGGUGAGUAACACGUGGGUGAUCUGCCCUGCACUUCGGGAUAAGCCUGGGAAACUGGGUCUAAUACCGGAUAGGAGCCAUUUUUAGUGUGAUGGUUGGAAAGUUUUUUCGGUGUAGGAUGAGCUCGCGGCCUAUCAGCUUGUUGGUGGGGUAAUGGCCUACCAAGGCGGCGACGGGUAGCCGGCCUGAGAGGGUGGACGGCCACAUUGGGACUGAGAUACGGCCCAGACUCCUACGGGUGGCAGCAGUGGGGAAUAUUGCACAAUGGGUGCAAGCCUGAUGCAGCGACGCCGCGUGGGGGAUGACGGCCUUCGGGUUGUAAACUCCUUUCGCUAGGGACGAAGCUUUUUGUGACGGUACCUAGAGAAGAAGCACCGGCUAACUACGUG
rnacentral:rRNA from 1 species